CACAACGUGGGCCCCGAAGCCGGCCUGGGCUUGGUGCCCCCAAAGGUUUUUCUUCCAACCUAAAUAAUUCUGUACAUCCACGGGGCUGCCUGCCCACCUCAGUGCCGGCCCGGUGCGUCUCUUUGGAAAUCUAAUUUCCUCGUAGUUUAUUGUAGCGCAAUGUGCCUAAGGAGAACAGGACACAUAAUAAAAUACAUCUGCGUGAAACCCCGUUAUUGCCCGUCAAAACUCGUCUGCUGGCAAAUCACGGUGCAAAAGGCGGCUGGGAGCUGGAACCGAAGGGCUCGCUGCACCGGGGGGCUCUGGCACAGCUCCCCACUCGUAUUCCUGGGUCCGUUGGGGAAGGUUUCUCCUCUGCCAGUGAAGUUCCUGAUCACCACGGAGCAGCGCUGAGGCUUGGGGUGUUCGAGCAAGGAGCAAAGGAGGACAUGGGGCACGUCCCUCUUGGAAGCUCAGGUGGCCGUGGUUGGAGAGACGUUACACCUGGAUGCAGUGAUUUGGGAUGCUUUCCAUGGCACCUCUCUCCCAGCCUGGCAGAGUAGUCUUGCUCAGUCCUCCGCACAAGAGCGGUCCUGUUGCUGUCUGUGAAGCCGUCCAGACCAAAUGUACAAGUGGAAGGCACAGCCUGAGGGGAAGAGCCUCUGGCUGCUGCACUGCAGGGAUGCUUGCAGACACAGCCCUGCUCCUGCACAAGCCUCCCACCGCUGCUGGACUCCUGACUCUUGCAGAAGGCACUGCUCUACCCCAGGGUCUGAAUCCUGCUCACGCCGCACCUUCCAGACCCCCCAGCAGGAGCAGAGGAGGCACAGAGGUGGCCCAGAGUUGGCAGAGGGGACAGUCACCAUUUCAUACCUCCAGACACCCGGGCAAAGCCGAUUCUUAGGAGCUGCAGCCUCCCACCUUGCAACCACAGCCACGCAGGCAGCGCCUGGGGACCGGGAGGGACCAGCUGCUCAUGUGGCC
rnacentral:lncRNA from 1 species